rnacentral:sRNA from 1 species
GUGGCCGCCGCUGCCAACGAGCUCAACAACAACCUCCCGGGCGGCGCGCCGGCCGCACCUGCCGUCCCCGGUCCCGGGGGCGUGAACUGCGCGGUCGGCUCCGCCAUGCUGACCCGGGCGGCCCCCGGCCCGCGGCGGUCGGAGGACGAGCCCCCAGCCGCCUCUGCCUCGGCUGCACCGCCGCCCCGGCGUGACGAGGAGGAGCCGGACGGCGUCCCGGAGAAGGGCAAGAGCUCGGGCCCCAGUGCCAGGAAAGGCAAGGGGCAGAUAGAGAAGAGGAAGCUGCGGGAGAAGAGGCGCUCCACCGGCGUGGUCAACAUCCCUGCCGCAGAGUUAAAAAUAUGAAGAUUAAGGGGAAAUUGAAGACAAGGCUUUGGAAAAGCUACAUUCCUCAACUUGAUUUUUAAAAGUAGCUGAUGACAAAU